rnacentral:rRNA from 1 species
UACAGAGGUCCCGAGCGUUGUUCGGAUUCAUUGGGCGUAAAGGGUGCGUAGGUGGCGCCGUAAGUGGGGUGUGAAAUCCCAUGGCUCAACCAUGGAAGUGCACCCGAAACUGCGUAGCUAGAGUCCUGGAGAGGAAGGUGGAAUACUUGGUGUAGAGGUGAAAUUCGUAGAUAUCAAGUGGAACACCGGUGGCGAAGGCGGCCUUCUGGACAGUGACUGACGCUGAGACGCGAAAGCGUGGGGAGCAAACAGG